UAGGGAAUCUUCGGCAAUGGACGGAAGUCUGACCGAGCAACGCCGCGUGAGUGAAGAAGGUUUUCGGAUCGUAAAGCUCUGUUGUAAGAGAAGAACGAGUGUGAGAGUGGAAAGUUCACACUGUGACGGUAUCUUACCAGAAAGGGACGGCUAACUACGUGCCAGCAGCCGCGGUAAUACGUAGGUCCCGAGCGUUGUCCGGAUUUAUUGGGCGUAAAGCGAGCGCAGGCGGUUAGAUAAGUCUGAAGUUAAAGGCUGUGGCUUAACCAUAGUAGGCUUUGGAAACUGUUUAACUUGAGUGCAAGAAGGGAGAGUGGAAUUCCAUGUGUAGCGGUGAAAUGCGUAGAUAUAUGGAGGAACACCGGUGGCGAAAGCGGCUCUCUGGCUUGUAACUGACGCUGAGGCUCGAAAGCGUGGGGAGCAAACAGGAUUAGAUACCCUGGUAGUCCACGCUGUAAACGAUGAGUGCUAGGUGUUAGACCCUUUCCGGGGUUUAGUGCCGUAGCUAACGCAUUAAGCACUCCGCCUGGGGAGUACGACCGCAAGGUUG
rnacentral:rRNA from 1 species